rnacentral:rRNA from 1 species
UACGUAGGGUGCAAGCGUUGUCCGGAAUUAUUGGGCGUAAAGAGCUCGUAGGCGGUCUGUUGCGUCGGCUGUGAAAACCCGGGGCUCAACCCGGGCCUGCAGCCGAUACGGGCAGACUAGAGUUCGGCAGGGGAGACUGGAAUUCCUGGUGUAGCGGUGAAAUGCGCAGAUAUCAGGAGGAACACCGGUGGCGAAGGCGGGUCUCUGGGCCGAUACUGACGCUGAGGAGCGAAAGCGUGGGGGGAGCGAACAGG